GGAUUGCGCAUUAACAUAUGCAGGACAGUAGUUUAAUUUUUAUCAAAUUGAUACCUUAUAUUUUCUCCGUUAGCAAAUAUGAUCCAAAUUGUUAGUUACAGUCAAAUGAUGCUAAAGCGGCGAAUAUUAUGGCAUUGAUGUGGCAACACAUAGAAGACGUAAUGCUUACAUGGCAUUUAUGUGGCGAACACGUAGCGCUUACGUAUCACCAUGUUAGCACAGUGCGUUCGCCAAG
rnacentral:misc_RNA from 1 species